rnacentral:rRNA from 1 species
UACGGGGGGGGCAAGCGUUGUUCGGAAUUACUGGGCGUAAAGGGUUCGUAGGUGGCCAACUAAGUCAUACGUGAAAUCCCUCAGCUUAACUGGGGAACUGCGUCUGAUACUGGAUGGCUUGAGGUUGGGAGAGGGAUGCGGAAUUCCAGGUGUAGCGGUGAAAUGCGUAGAUAUCUGGAGGAACACCGGUGGCGAAGGCGGCAUCCUGGACCAAUUCUGACACUGAGGAGCGAAAGCCAGGGGAGCAAACGGG